UCUUUUGUGACAAAUCACCAUAAUUUUCCAUUGUGUUCUUGAAACUCUCUAGAUUUCUUCGUAACGGUGUUGACCGUUUCUUUUUCACAAUAAAGCGAUUGAGGGUACGUUCUGAAUAACUGGUAGAAACUGGAGGUGUGUCUUGGAU